UAACGCGUGGGUAACCUGCCUUAUACAGGGGGAUAACAGUCAGAAAUGGCUGCUAAUACCGCAUAAGCGCACAGAGCUGCAUGGCUCAGUGCGAAAAACUCCGGUGGUAUAAGAUGGACCCGCGUUGGAUUAGCUAGUUGGUGGGGUAACGGCCCACCAAGGCGACGAUCCAUAGCCGGCCUGAGAGGGUGAACGGCCACAUUGGGACUGAGACACGGCCCAG
rnacentral:rRNA from 1 species